rnacentral:hammerhead_ribozyme from 1 species
AUCCACCUGAUGAGUCCUAAAUAGGACGAAACGCGCAUCAAACUGGAU